rnacentral:rRNA from 1 species
AGAGUUUGAUCAUGGCUCAGCCUGAACGCUGGCGGCGUGGUUAAGACAUGCAAGUCGCACGGGCGUAGCAAUACGCCAGUGGCGAACGGGUGAGUAAUGAAUCGCUAAUGUACCCCGGACUCUGGGAUAGCUGCCCGAAAGGGCAGGUAAUACCAGAUGACAUACCCGCACGGCAUCGUGUGGGUCUCAAAGGUCCGCCGGUCCGGGAGCAGGCGAUUUCGUAUCAGCUAGUUGGUGAGGUAACGGCUCGCCAAGGCGACGACGCGUAGCCGGACUGAGAGGUUGGCCGGCCACAUCGGGACUGAGACACUGCCCGGACUCCUACGGGGGGCUGCAGUAACGAAUCUUCCCCAAUGCACGAAAGUGUGAGGGAGCGACGCCGCGUGUGGGACGAAGUCCUUCGGGAUGUAAACCACUGUCAGGGGUUACCAAGUUCUGAGGAGCCCCAGAGGAAGAGGCGGCUAACUCUGUGCCAGCCGCCGCGGUAAUAC